rnacentral:rRNA from 1 species
ACUCCUACGGGAGGCAGCAGUAGGGAAUCUUCCACAAUGGACGAAAGUCUGAUGGAGCAACGCCGCGUGAGUGAAGAAGGGUUUCGGCUCGUAAAAACUCUGUUGUUAAAAGAAGAACAUAUCUGAGAGUAACUGUUCAGGUAUUGACGGUAUUUAACCAGAAAGCCACGGCUAACUACGUGCCAGCAGCCGCGGUAAUACGUAGGUGGCAAGCGUUGUCCGGAUUUAUUGGGGCGUAAAGCGAGCGCAGGCGGUUUUUAAGUCUGAUGUGAAAGCCUUCGGUCUCAACCGAAGAAGUGCAUCGGAAACUGGGAAACGUUGAGUGCAGAAGAGGACAGUGGAACUCCAUGUGUAGCGGUGAAAUGCGUAGAUAUAUGAA